GGUAGCUGUGAUCUUUUCGCCGGCGAGUGGGUACGGGAUGAGACCUACCCACUUUACCGAGCGGAAGAAUGCGGCGGAGGAAUGAUAGAUCCGGGAUUCGACUGCCAGACUUACGGCAGACCUGACUCUGAUUAUCUCAAGUUCCGGUGGAAACCUUUCAAUUGCGACGUCCCAAGGUUAACAAAACUCACUAUCACUAGCUAUUUUAUUAGAAUUGUACGUACGUCGAUUAAGUUAAUGUAAGUAUAAUUAUCCUGCUUUUAAGGAACAUUUUUAUAACAUGUGCCAAAUGUUUUUGUUACAAACAAAUGUUCAAGUUUAUCUACAUGAUGUAGUUCAUGCAAAAUCUACCCUAUAGAAAGAUAUGGUUACAACUGACAAGAAAUAAGAACUAAGAACAAGGUUUGGAGAGUGAGAGAAUGAGAGCUCGAGGUAGUGGUGGUCGUACCUAGGGUGCUACGUCUCUAGGGUUUCGUAUGUCUCCUCCUCUCUGCGCCUUCCUCCCUUUUAUUCUCAUCCUUCUUCUCUUCUUCUUGUUCCCCAGAUCCCGCAGCUUCCGAGAUCUUCUCCGUGUCUUGUUCUCCGUCGAACUAGCAGCAUCUCGUUUCUCAUGCUGAUGGACUCUUGAUAUUUCUCCUAUCUUAAAUUCACAAUCAUCUCUCCAAGCCAAUACUACCAUCUUCUUUAAAUCUUAGACUCUAACCCUCCCUAGAAUCAGGGCCGGCUCAACAGUGUUAAAGGCCCUAGAGAAAAAAAAAAUUUACCUUCUAAAAUUUAUAUACAUAUAAUGUUUAAAAUAUUUUUAAAAUUUAAUCGUUAAUAUUUUGUAUUUUGUAAUAAAAAUAAAAUUAUAUACAUAUCAAAUAAUAUUGGACCCUUUUUAAUUUUAUUUAUUAUAUUUAUAUUUUUUUAUAUAUAAAAAUAUAGAUUUAUAAAAAAAAUUGAACCCCUUAAUUAGUAUUAUACGGGGGACACGAGCUUGGGUCCGGGACAGUCGCACCGCUUGUCCCCCCCAAUGAGCCGGCCCUGCCUAGAAUGAGAGAAUGCUUUACUUCAAUAAAACCAUUCAAAGACGAAUACUUAUGACAUUUUCAACUCAUUGCUAUUUUCACCUUUAAAUUCUAUGAUAGAAGAAAAUAUAUUCAAUACACCUCUACUUCCUUUUCUAAAAUAGAGAUUUCUCUCUUUUCCUCAAAUUUAGAGAAAACACAACAUUUUUCAAUCAUAGAGACACAUUUGUUAUUUUCUACAUGAUCCGUGAAGCUUUACAUUCUUAUAAUUAUAAUUAUAGUAAAUAUUUUUAGAGAAUACAAUUUUAUGAAAUAGAGUCACGCCUCUUAUUUACAUAAUAAUCUCUUACAGAAAUAUUUUAUUUAAAUAUCAUAAUUUUAUAAAAUUCUUGCAAAAUUUUAAAAUAAUGAGGUUAGUUUUCAACUUUUAUAAAUAAAAAAUAUUUUUUAUAAUGACAAUAGAAUAUAUUAAAGUAUUACUUUUAUAGGAAAUUAGAGAUAAAAUACACUGGAAACAAACACAUUUUUAUUAUGAUAUUCUCAUAUUCAAAAAAAAUAAAGGAAUUUUUUUCUGUUUCAGAAAGAUCAAUGUUUUCGAAAAUUGUUUUCAAAUAUAUUUUUAUAAUUUAUGCAUUUUUUAUAUUUUAUAUACUAAAUUAUCAUUACUCCGCUAGUCUGGGUUGGGCUUCUACACAUGCGGUUGACAUUGUGGACUAACAGAUGAUCGAUCCACCUUAUGACAUUAGUCAAAAGGCAUUCUAAACUCAGAUCAGACAAUGUGAUAGCUAAUCUACUCUAUAUCACUAAGUGCAUUCUUCUUGAUACUGACCGGAUCAGCCAAUAAGGUAUAUCAACAAAAAAUUACACAUUUUAUUAUCGUAAAAAUUUAAAAAUCACAAAAAUAAAUUGUGUUUAUAACAUUUCAAUUGGCUUAAAUUAUAAGAAAUAAUUAAUCAUUGUUGUAUUUAUAAUUUAAAUGAACUUUUUAAUAUGUCUAAAACACAAAAAAUGCAUCUUUUUUAAAAAAAGAAAAUAUAUUAGAGAUGCUCUUAAUCCAAUAAAUUCAACAGUUCCUUUAUUUACCUGGAACUAGGUACUCGUUACUCUCUUCUACUUGUUUGGAUGCACUAAGCAAAAUUUCAACAUCUUUUAUAUUUAUAUCUAAUAUCAUAUAUAUAUAUAUUUAUAAUAAGAGUCAAAAAAUUCAAACUACGAAAACUCUAUUAAUGAAGAUAGCUACAUGGAAUUAAUUGUAUAGUAAUGUUAGUCAAUGUUCUCAUAAACAUUUGAAUAUAAUCAAUCAUAAUCUUACCAUAAUCAAGUAAUACAAAAUUUCACUUUUAAAAAUAAUUAUUAUUUAACAAUACUUUUACUAAAUUUAUUUUUAUCAAAAGGUUUUAUAAACAGUGUUAAAACUUCUUUAAAAUAUUACUAUUAUUAAAUGAAUCAUAAUUUCUGUCUACAUAUUAAUAUUGCUAAAAAAAUAUGAAAACUUAAGUAAAAAUAUAUCCUUUCAAACUAUAUGUCAUAAUCGCUCAUUUGGGUAGCUUGUCCUUUGGUCAGGUCCAUGCGGAAGAAUGCGGCGGAGGAAUGAUAGAUCCGGGAUUCGACUGCCAGACUUACGGCAGACCUGACUCUGAUUAUCUCAAGUUCCGGUGGAAACCUUUCAAUUGCGACGUCCCAAGGUUAACAAAACUCACUAUCACUAGCUAUUUUAUUAGAAUUGUACGUACGUCGA
rnacentral:lncRNA from 1 species